UAUUUUCUUUAUAAAUCCUGAGUUUCCAUUGGCAAACAGAGUUUGCUAUGAAUUAAUUUGAAAUAAAUACAGGAUUUUUUAAAAUUUGUCAACAAGUUUUACUUUUGAUUGCUAACAGCUUCAUUUUUCUACAGCACUAAUGUGCAAUAACAUAAUUAAUUGGUGUCAGUACAGAGAUGUACUUAAUCGUUGCCAUAGACUCAGAGAAGAAAGUAUAUGGAUCCACUAGAAAUAGAUUUUUCAGACUUACUAAUGCAUAUUAAACAAACAAACAACAACAAAAAACAAACAAAAAAAAAAAAACAGGGAGUUUGGAAGUCACUGUUUCUCAUAAAAUGACUGCUGUACUAAGCUACAGGUUGAGAUGACAACUAUUAAUAUCCACGAAACCUUGUUUUUCAAUCUGUAGUCCACACCUUUUGUUCCCUGUCAGCUGACAAUUCUACUGCCUGCUAAUUCUGAAGACUGGCUGCAAAAUCCAGUUCCUUCCCUCCACAUCGCUGCUCCUGCAGCAGCCACGAGGCCAUGGUUCAGGGGACUCCUGCCUAGCAUGGCCUCCUUGGGUCAUUCUAAAUCCUUUGCACCAGAUGUGAAUGCAGCACAUAAUGUUUCUACAGUAGCUGCAUGCCCAUGCAAACUAAUUCCAAAUGUUUUUGGUUUUUUUUUUUUGGUGGUUUGCCCUCUACUGUCUUAUUCUCUUUUCCACAUCACUUUUUGUUAUGUACAGCUGAGAGACUGGUUUUGACUUGGUUAGCUCCAUUUUUGCAAGACUCUUAAUUGCUUAUAAUUUAGGUGUGUUCAUACAUAUGGAAUGAUCUGAAUUAGAAUCGCUGCUUCGAUCAUAUGAGGUCAGAAAAUUAGCUGAAGAAAUAAAUGGAGUUGUCUCAUCAUCUAAAGCGUUCUCAGAUAAAGGGGGAAAAAAUAGCUGAUGUCCUUUAGGCAGAAGAUUUUUGCUGUUCUCUGCAAAAGAAACUGUCACAGUUGGACAUGCAAUAACAUUCCUCUCAGCUGGAAGAUUAAUAUCACUUCACCUCUCUUAUACAUUAUUCUCAUCUGCUGUGCCAAACUGAAAUUUGUUUCCAUGUGCCCUGUAAGGAAAAUAAACUUUUUUGCCUGUUAUACGAAGAAAAUUAGUUUUCAAAUUAACCAUUCUCCUGUGCAGUUUUACUGCACACUCAUGUUCAUAGCUCCUUGGCUUGUGACUCGGAGAUUUUUGUAUUUUUACUUUGUUUUUCAUUGCUAUUUCUUUUUUUUCAGGGCCUGAUUUUUGUGGAUUUCUGUAGCAUUACCAAGAAAUUCCCAUUUACUCUGGGAGCGGCAAGGCUGUAUUUGAAAUCUUCUGAUCGAAAAAAAAAAGAAAUGAAGAAAGCCACAAAAAAUAAUUGGAUGGGAAUGAGAAACUUGAAAUAACUCCUCAAAAUUGAUCAUUAAGUUUGAAAAUUCUGUUCUUGGUCAAUAUCUUAAACCAUAGAAGACCACCACAAUAUGAUUUUUUUAACAGUUAUUAUGAUUUAUUUAUUUUUUUACUUUUAUUUAAGGUAUUUCCUUUACUUUUCACUUAUCAACAACU
rnacentral:lncRNA from 1 species